GACGAACCGUGCGAACGUUGUUCGGAAUCACUGGGCUUAAAGGGCGCGUAGGCGGCCCACCAAGUCCGGGGUGAAAUCCUCCGGCUUAACCGGAGAAUUGCCUGGGAUACUGGUGGUCUUGAGGGAGGUAGGGGCACGCGGAACUUCCGGUGGAGCGGUGAAAUGCGUUGAUAUCGGAAGGAACGCCGGUGGCGAAAGCGGCGUGCUGGACCUCUUCUGACGCUGAGGCGCGAAAGCCAGGGGAGCGAACGGG
rnacentral:rRNA from 1 species